UAGGAGAAUCGGGCUCAUUUAAUCAUGAAUCAUUUUGUCUGCAAAUAAUUUAUGAUUGUAGAGCAGACUACCGUAUAGACCAAAAUGGCAGAACAAUCGCAAACCAAUCCAAUGUCGUUGGAAUCUAUUACGCAAAGUUCGCAUAAUUUGUGCAAUUAUUGAACAAUAAUUACACAUAUUGUAGCACUAUUGCGCAAUGUUAUUACUUUAGAUGCAACUCGUUGAGGUUUCGGAGAAUAGGUAUCAUUACUCAGGUAAGUCCCUACUUACCUAAGUACCUAGGUAUGUACGAUUGGUCCUAUAUUAGUAGCACAAUGCCCGAUAUGGUUAAAACUGCUAUUGCGAUUCAAUUUUGACAUUACUAACUCAGGAGAAUCGGGCCCCAGUUGUGUUAGCACCCAUAACUUAUGGGCCAUAACACAAGUUAAUUAAUAACUUAGCAUGGAGCUAACCGACCGUGUGUGAAAAGGUGUCCCGACGUUAUUUUGUUCUGUUUUGGUGACCUUAGAAAUAUAAAAAAAGUUCUUGGCAGCGGUGGGAUUCGAACCCACGCCUCCGAAGAGACUGGUGCCUUAAACCAGCGCCUUAGACCGCUCGGCCACGCUACCAGAUAUAGAACGUGUCGAAAUAGAAAUACAGCAUGCCCAAAUUCCAUAUAUUCUCCUAUGUAAACUAAAAAUAAUUAUCAUCUUUUAGGUCCCCAAGAUACAGGCAGCGCCUAGUUUGGGGAAACAGAACCUAUGUAAAUUUCUCCCGCAGAAAAUUUACAGCGAACAUUUGUAAUCGUUUACCUUAAAAAGUGACUCAUUAAUGUAACUGGAUCAAUAAACUUUAUUAUCUCUAUCAAGAAUUUUCAUUUUAAUAGUUGCAGAGACCCACUUUUAAAAGAAUCCACACUACUCGUCGACACCUAGGCUACUUUACCCAUGUGCAGUAUUUAGUGUAAUAAUUGCCUUGGACACGGAAGAAACCGUGGACGAAAAUUGACUAACCACAUGGCAAGAGUUACAAUCGCAGGGGAAGUACUUUCACAUUAAAAUAUCUAAAGACGAAUACUUACCUAUCUUUUUAAAUAUCUAAUAAAAUAAGCGACUGUAUUGUUUUUAUGGCCUACAUACCUAGGUACUUAGGUAAGUAGGGACACCUAUUCUCCGAAACCUCAACGAGUUGCAUCUAAAGUAAUAACAUUGCGCAAUAGUGCUACAAUAUGUGUAAUUAUUGUUCAAUAAUUGCACAAAUUGUUUAAACAUUGCGUAAUAGAUAAGAGUAGCCAGCACCUAUAUAAAAACAGAUAUUGCAGAACCGUCCUCAUUCGUAGUGGAAUAGUUAGACACGAGCGCAAGUAAGAUUUGUGAUUUCAUAUAUCAAUUUCAAAAACUAAACGAACCAGUUCAGUUUUGUGUUACAGAAGCUGGAAUUGCUGAAACGCUGAAACAUGGAGGCGGCAAUCGUCGUUGAAGUGCAAUCUAGUGCUGAAGCUCAAGAAGGGAAGAUCCCGUGGCCGUUCCAGGGGAAGAUCCCGUGAUCGUUCCAGGGGAAGAUCUCGUGGCCGUUCCCGCGGAAAAUCCCGCAGUCGCUCGAGAGGUAAAUCCAACGCACAAUCGGAGGUCACUUCUAAACAAGUAAGAAGGCCCAGAGAUGAAUCAAGGAAUUGUUUGUUUAGACUGUCUGAAUAUUACUCGGAAACAAUGGAUACGCGCAGGAGCAGGGAAAGAUCUAGAAGUCCUAACAGGAAAUUGAGGUGUCAUUCCAGGGCAAGAUCCAGGAGUCAGUCUAGGGGAAGAUCCAGAGGCCAUUCUAG
rnacentral:lncRNA from 1 species